CGAGGCAUGACUCAGACCGACGCAGACUUGUGGCUGGCGGCUGUGACUCAGAAAGGAAGGGAGAAGGGAGGGGAGUCGAGCUGUUUGCACAAACAGAGCGAAGUGGACGGUGUCAGGGAUGGGAUCUCUUCUCCCCCACUCACCCAGGGUUGCAGAGAUGAGCAGCUGGCCAUGAAUACCAGACACACACCCACACACCCACACAGGCCAGAGAGGAUGGAGGGAGUGCCAGGAGGUGAAAGACAGACAGACAGUGUGUGUGGAUGCAGGCGGAGGUGGUGGAGCUGCAGCAGCACCAGUUCAGGAGGUUAUCCAGGGCCUCCCCACUCAGGAACUUAUAGUUUUCCAACAGGAGAGAGGCAUCAAAAUUGAAUGAAGAUAUUAAUAAUUCAGUGUCAGAUUUCUCAAAGAAAACUGGUUUUCUGAAACGAUAAGGCAAAAAUCGAUGCCACCUC